rnacentral:rRNA from 1 species
CUACGGGUCGCUGCAGUGGGGAAUAUUGGACAAUGGGCGCAAGCCUGAUCCAGCCAUGCCGCGUGUGUGAAGAAGGCCUUCGGGUUGUAAAGCACUUUCAGUAAGGAGGAAAGCGUAGUCGCUAAUAUCGGCUAUGUGUGACGUUACUUACAGAAGAAGCACCGGCUAACUCCGUGCCAGCAGCCGCGGUAAUACGGAGGGUGCAAGCGUUAAUCGGAAUUACUGGGCGUAAAGCGUACGCAGGCGGUUGAUUAAGCGAGAUGUGAAAGCCCCGGGCUCAACCUGGGAACUGCAUUUCGGACUGGUCAACUAGAGUGUGGUAGAGGGUGGUGGAAUUUCAGGUGUAGCGGUGAGAUGCGUAGAGAUCUGGAGGAAUACCGAUGGCGAAGGCAGCCACCUGGGUCAACACUGACGCUCAUGUACGAAAGCGUGGGGAGCAAACAGGAUUAGAUACCCGUGUAGUC